CGUGAGUGGCGGACGGGUGAGUAACGCGUGGGUAACCUGCCUCAUACAGGGGGAUAACAGUUAGAAAUGACUGCUAAUACCGCAUAAGACCACAGCACCGCAUGGUGCAGGGGUAAAAACUCCGGUGGUAUGAGAUGGACCCGCGUCUGAUUAGGUAGUUGGUGGGGUAACGGCCUACCAAGCCGACGACCAGUAGCCGACCUGAGAGGGUGACCGGCCACAUUGGGACUGAGACACGGCCCAA
rnacentral:rRNA from 1 species